GUCUAGCCCUGGUAAUGUUAAACCCUCAGUCCAGCCCUGGUAAUGUUAAACCCUCAGUCUAGCCCUGGUAAUGUUAAACCCUCACUAUAAGGCAGAAGAGAGAGAACCAGCCUGGGGCUGGAGACUGGUCUGCUCACUACAAGGCAGAAGAGAGAGAACCAGCCUGGGGCUGGAGACUGGUCUGCUCACUAUAAGGCAGAAGAGAGAGAACCAGCCUGGGGCUGGAGACUGGUCUGCUCACUAUAAGGCAGAAGAGAGAGAACCAGCCUGGGGCUGGAGACUGGUCUGCUCACUAUAAGGCAAAAGAGAGAGAACCAGCCUGGGGCUGGAGACUGGUCUGCUCACUAUAAGGCAGAAGAGAGAGAACCAGCCUGGGGCUGGAGACUGGUCUGCUCACUAUAAGGCAGAAGAGAGAGAACCAGCCUGGGGCUGGAGACUGGUCUGCUCACUACAAGGCAGAAGAGAGAGAACCAGCCUGGGGCUGGAGACUGGUCUGCUCACUGUAAGGCAGAAGAGAGAGAACCAGCCUGGGGCUGGAGACUGGUCUGCUCACUGUAAGGCAGAAGAGAGAGAGAACCAGCCUGGGGCUGGAGGCUGGUCUGCUCACUAUAAGGCAGAAGAGAGAGAACCAGCCUGGGGCUGGAGACUGGUCUCCUCACUGUAAGGCAGGAGAGAGAGAACCAGCCUGGGGCUGGAGACUGGUCUGCUCACUAUAAGGCAGAAGAGAGAGAACCAGCCUGGGGCUGGAGACUGGUCUGCUCACUAUAAGGCAGAAGAGAGAGAGAACCAGCCUGGGGCUGGAGACUGGUCUGCUCACUAUAAGGCAGAAGAGAGAGAACCAGCCUGGGGCUGGAGACUGGUCUGCUCACUAUAAGGCAGAAGAGAGAGAACCAGCCUGGGGCUGGAGACUGGUCUGCUCACUAUAAGGCAGAAGAGAGAGAACCAGCCUGGGGCUGGAGACUGGUCUGCUCACUAUAAGGCAGAAGAGAGAGAGAACCAGCCUGGGGCUGGAGACUGGUCUGCUCACUAUAAGGCAGAAGAGAGAGAACCAGCCUGGGGCUGGAGACUGGUCUGCUCACUAUAAGGCAGAAGAGAGAGAACCAGCCUGGGGCUGGAGACUGGUCUGCUCACUAUAAGGCAGAAGAGAGAGAACCAGCCUGGGGCUGGAGACUGGUCUGCUCACUAUAAGGCAGAAGAGAGAGAACCAGCCUGGGGCUGGAGACUGGUCUGCUCACUAUAAGGCAGAAGAGAGAGAACCAGCCUGGGGCUGGAGACAGCCAGACAGACAGACUCAUCCAGACACACGUGGUCUGUAUCUCUAGAAUGCGACCAGUGACCGGGAGGCUCAGAUCCCUGUAGACCAGGGGUUCCAUCAGAAUGAAUGGUGGAAAAACGAUUGGAACCAUUUCCCUGUUUGACCGCUAGGUUUUAUGGGUAUUUUAUAGCAGCUCGAAAGGCCACACUAGAUUCAUUCGGAGCAGCCUUUUCCCCCACGAUUUAAGGGCCACUCUGGUUGAAUUGGAUCUUUUUAAGGUUUUAAACCUUUUAAUUUCCAUGUUUAAGGUUAACCACAUUACAAGGAUACAAAGGCCAUGUGUUAAAUAAAAUGUCUUUUAUUUUUUUUACAUUUUAUUUUCAGGAUUUUUUGGGGAAAAUUCUUCCGCAACCUCGUUUUCACAUCAGGCGUCCCGUCCCCAACACGGGGUCGCGACCCUUAGUUUGGUGACCGCUGCUGGACACUGUGAGGCCACCAUCCCUCUCUGAGGCUGAGGUUUAAUACACAGAGAAAGACUGGCUGGACACUGUGAGACCCUCUCUGAGGCUGAGGUUUAACACACAGAGAAAGACUGGCUGGACACUGAGGCCACCAUCCCUCUCUGAGGCUGAGGUUUAACACACAGAGAAAGACUGGCUGGACACUGUGAGGCCACCAUCCCUCUCUGAGGCUGAGGUUUAACACACAGAGAAAGACUGGCUGGACACUGUGAGGCCACCAUCCCUCUCUGAGGCUGAGGUUUAACACACAGAGAAAGACUGGCUGGACACUGUGAGGCCACCAUCCCUCUCUGAGGCUGAGGUGUAAUACACAGAGAAAGACUGGCUGGACACUGUGAGGCCACCAUCCCUCUCUGAGGCUGAGGUUUAACACACAGAGAAAGACUGGCUGGACACUGUGAGGCCACCAUCCCUCUCUGAGGCUGAGGUUUAAUACACAGAGAAAGACUGGCUGGACACUGUGAGGCCACCAUCCCUCUCUGAGGCUGAGGUUUAAUACACAGAGAAAGACUGGCUGGACACUGUGAGGCCACCAUCCCUCUCUGAGGCUGAGGUUUAAUACACAGAGAAAGACUGGCUGGACACUGUGAGACCCUCUCUGAGGCUGAGGUUUAAUACACAGAGAAAGACUGGCUGGACACUGUGAGGCCACCAUCCCUCUCUGAGGCUGAGGUUUAAUACACAGAGAAAGACUGGCUGGACACUGUGAGGCCACCAUCCCUCUCUGAGGCUGAGGUUUAAUACACAGAGAAAGACUGGCUGGACACUGUGAGGCCACCAUCCCUCUCUGAGGCUGAGGUUUAAUACACAGAGAAAGACUGGCUGGACACUGUGAGACCACCAUCCCUCUCUGAGGCUGAGGUUUAAUACACAGAGAAAGACUGGCUGGACACUGUGAGGCCACCAUCCCUCUCUGAGGCUGAGGUUUAACACACAGAGAAAGACUGGCUGGACACUGUGAGGCCACCAUCCCUCUCUGAGGCUGAGGUUUAAUACACAGAGAAAGACUGGCUGGACACUGUGAGACCCUCUCUGAGGCUGAGGUUUAACACACAGAGAAAGACUGGCUGGACAAAAAUGCUGAUUCUUAAUGGGAUUUAAAAAGGCUGAACAAUGAUCAUCAAAUACAAACUGAUGAAUGAUUUGAACCAGAUUAUAAAACAUCAUUAUAAAAACACGAAUGUCAGAUUAUAAAACAUGUCUGUAACACUAAACGGGUGGAAAAGCUGAACAUUUAUAAUAAAAACUAAUCCCAAAACGUGAUCAUUUAUCAAGUCCAUUUACAAAGCAACACAAUGUGUCUUUCAUGUCACCAGGAACAAACACUGGUUCAACUAAUAGCUGUUCACAUGACAGGAAGUUGGUGAACAGGUUAAUUGAGGUGAACAGGCUUGUGGGUAAUGACUGGAGCUGAAUCAGUGGAACGGUAUUAAAUAUAUCAAACACAUUCUGAUUGGUCCCAGAAACAGGAAGUUGGUGAACAGGUUAAUUGGGGAGAACGGUAUUAAAUAUAUCAAACACAUUCUGAUUGGUCCCAGAAACAGGAAGUUGGUGAACAGGUUAAUUGGGGAGAACGGUAUUAAAUAUAUCAAAAACAUUCUAACUGUUCUGAUUGGUCCCAGAAACAGGAAGUUGGUGAACAGGCAUGUGGGUAAUGACUGGAGCGGAAUCGGUGGAACGGCAUUAAAUACAUCACACAUGGUUUCCAUGGUUUCCGGGUGUUUGAUGUCAUUUCGUUUGCUUCGUUUCCGGACAUUUCUACGAGCCGUCCUCCCGUCAGCAGCCUCCUGUGAUUCACAUGUCCUCACUGUCGAAGGACUCGGAGCAUUGGAGAAAGAUCUCCUCACGGUCCCUCAUAGCAGACAGACACACGUCCUAUAGGGAGAGAGAACCUGUUACCUGGAGGACAGACAGACAGACAGGUCCUAUAGGGAGAGAGAACCUGUUACCUGGAGGACAGACACACGUCCUAUAGGGAGAGAGAACCUGUUACCUGGAGGACAGACACACGUCCUAUAGGGAGAGAGAACCUGUUAUCUGGAGGACAGACAGACAGACAGACAGACAGACAGACAGACAGACAGACAGACAGACAGACAGG